rnacentral:rRNA from 1 species
GAAAGCCUGAUGCAGCCAUGCCGCGUGUAUGAAGAAGGCCUUCGGGUUGUAAAGUACUUUCAGUUGUGAGGAAGGGGGUAACGUUAAUAGCGCUAUCUCUUGACGUUAGCAACAGAAGAAGCACCGGCUAACUCCGUGCCAGCAGCCGCGGUAAUACGGAGGGUGCGAGCGUUAAUCGGAAUUACUGGGCGUAAAGCGCAUGCAGGUGGUUCAUUAAGUCAGAUGUGAAAGCCCGGGGCUCAACCUCGGAACUGCAUUUGAAACUGGUGAACUAGAGUGCUGUAGAGGGGGGUAGAAUUUCAGGUGUAGCGGUGAAAUGCGUAGAGAUCUGAAGGAAUACCAGUGGCGAAGGCGGCCCCCUGGACAGACACUGACACUCAGAUGCGAAAGCGUGGGGAGCAAACAGGAUUAGAUACCCUGGUAGUCCACGCCGUAAACGAUGUCUACUUGGAGGUUGUGGCCUUUAGCCGUGGCUUUCGGAGCUAACGCGUUAAGUAGACCGCCUGGGGAGUACCGUCGCAAAAUUAAAACUCAAAUGAAUUUGACCGGGGGCCCCGCACCAAACGGUGGAACCAUUUUUGUUUUAAAUUUCGAUGCCAACGC